CGAACGCGCUUGGCGUGAUUUGGCUAAAGGUAGAUGGGAGGCCAAGAACCAUGGUAAGGUUUUGCUUCUUGUUUCCUUCGAAGUAUUCCUUGUGUUCUAUUUAUUACUGAUUUUCUUUCAUGCAGGUGUAACCAAGGAUACGCUUUGAGGCCUUCGAGCGGUGAAGAAGAAACUAAGUCCCGGUUCCGUCAGAGAACCCCAAGACCAAAACUUGGAGGGUGAGGAGGAAGGAAGUUGCCCUUCCGAUUGACUUGGUCCAACGACUAAGAGAAGAAGAAGAAGAAGAAGAAGAAGAAGAAGAAGAAGAAGAAGAAGAAGAAGAUAACGCCUCGGCUUUGGUGAUCUGAUUUGCGAAAGCUAUCGAGAUUGCUAGAGCUCCUGAGCCAAUGGCGGCUGUACCGGUCGGGGUGGGUCCUGAAAUCCCGAGUCUUGAUCGGAACACCCCGAGUGAUUUGCUUGGGGCUAUGACAGUGGGUCAUUCGCCUUCUCUUCCAACUUUUCUGAGGAGGCGUUAAAGGAAGCUUGAGAAUUGAAGACCCCCGAUAUGGGCGGAGGCUCUAGUGUAGGGGACCCUUUUCGGGAUUGCUUCACUGGAGUCGAUGAUGCUUCCGAUAUUGGUGAUGCUUCUCUUCUGCUAGAGGAGGCCCAACGUUUCAUUACUCGGGUAAUGAUUUUUCUACACUUGGUUUCUUUAUUCUUUUCCAUACUUGACUUGUGUUUUUUCCCUAUUGUGUAGGCCAUGAGUAGGUUUCGAGUCGAUCUUAGUCAGUGUGAGGCCGAGCUUCAGAAGGUCUCGGGUGAGAGAGACGCCAUGCGGCUUCUUUGCAGCCAAAAGGACGAGGCUAUAAAGGACUUCCAAGCGGAUUUGGCUAAGGUUCGUGAAAAAGAGGCCGAAUUCGAUAAGCAGGUGAGCCUCGUUCUGUUAAAGUAUGGGUCUGACUCAACUGUGGAAGUUAACCCUUCGUUGUCUCAGCUACAGCAAAAGGUUGAAAAGAUCGGGUUACUUCGGGAAGAAGUUGAUCAAAUCAAAGCUGAAUGUAAUCGGUGGAACGAGACUAUCGACCGACUGGCUGCGGAAAAAGAAACCAUUUUGACCAAAUUACUAUCGGUCGAUGUUCAGCUUCGAAGCGUCAAGCAAAAGGGGUUGGCUCAAGCUAAGAGGAUCGAGGAGCUUGAAACAUGUCUUGCUGAGGCCAAAGCGGAGGUUGAGUCAUCGAAAGUCAUGGCGGAUAAGUCCAUUGCUGUGUAUCGGGCCGAUGCCGAGGCUGCUCAGAUGGAGGCACGGGAGGCGGCGGAUACUGCCGACGCUCGAGCUCAUUGGGUUGCCAAACUUGCUAAAUGUAGGUCUCGGAGGGAGACCCUCGAGGAGAUACACGCUCGAGGUUUCGACCUUACAGAAGAGAUAAAAAAGGCUAAAGAGCUCGAAGCUGAAGUUGAAGCCUUGGCUUCUGAUGAUGAUGAUGAUGGCGGUAGCAAGAGCGGAUCCGAGGACGGGGAAGAGCCCGACAGAGAAGCGAACGCCCCUGAGGAUGACCAGGAAGCUUAGUUCUUAAUUUUUUUACGUUUGUAAUCAAUCAUGUAGACAAUUUUGUAUAUAUACAACUUGGUCGACUUGUUUUUGUGAAGACUUUAAUCAAAUUUUGACUUCGUAGUCUCUAUGAUUGAUCGAUUGUUUUUUCAGACUUGAAGUGAUGUAGCCCUUAGGCUUGCUAGUUGAGUCAAUGAUUCGAACUUGAAGAAAUAUAGCUCGUAGGCGUGAUGGUUGAGUAAGUGUUCGCUCAAACUUAAAAUGAAAGCAGCUUAUAGGCUCAUUAGUCGUCAAGUGAAUGAUUCGAACUCGACGUAAUAUUGCCCGUAGGCGUAAUGGUCGAGUGAGUGCUUGCUCGAACUCGAAAUCAAAGUAGCCCGUAGGCUUCUUAGUCGAGUGAAUGUUUCGAACUCGAAGUAAUGUAGCCCGUAGGCGUAAUGAUCGAGUGAGUGCUUGCUCGAACUCGAAAUAAAAGUAGCCCGU
rnacentral:lncRNA from 1 species